UGAAUGGCAAAACGAAAGCUCAACUGUCUCCACAGGUUAAUCAAUGAAAUUGAUCUUUCCGUGCAGAAGCGGAAAUAUUUUUAUAAGACAAAAAGACCCUAUGGAGCUUCAAAUUUAAAUUAAUUAUAUAUGCUAAAAAUACAAUACAUAAUUUAAUGUAAGAUUUUAGGUUGGGGCGACCACGGAGUAAACUACAACCUCCGAGAUAAAUAAUUAAGAAAAACACUUCAAGAUAAUAAGACAAUUAAUAUACUUGAUCCAAUAUUUGAUCAACGAACCAAGUUACCCUAGGGAUAACAGCGCAAUCCUCUUAAAGAGUUCAUAUCGACAAGAGGGUUUACGACCUCGAUGUUGGAUCAGGGCCCCCUAAUGGUGCAGCAACUAUUAAAGGUUCGUUUGUUCAACGAUUAAAGCCCUACG
rnacentral:rRNA from 1 species